UACGGGGGGGGCAAGCGUUGUUCGGAAUUACUGGGCGUAAAGGGCUCGUAGGUGGCCAACUAAGUCAGACGUGAAAUCCCUCGGCUUAACCGGGGAACUGCGUCUGAUACUGGAUGGCUUGAGUUUGGGAGAGGGAUGCGGAAUUCCUGGUGUAGCGGUGAAAUGCGCAGAUAUCAGGAGGAACACCAAUGGCGAAGGCAGCUCGCUGGGACGUGACUGACGCUGAGACGCGAAAGCGUGGGGAGCAAACAGG
rnacentral:rRNA from 1 species